GAUGAACGCUGGCGGCGUGCUUAACACAUGCAAGUCGAACGAUGAAGCCCAGCUUGCUGGGUGGAUUAGUGGCGAACGGGUGAGUAACACGUGUGUAACCUGCCCUUGACUCUGGGAUAAGCCCGGGAAACUGGGUCUAAUACCGGCUAGGAGCGCCUGUCGCAUGACGGGUGUUGGAAAGAUUUUGCGGUCAUGGAUGGACUCGCGGCCUAUCAGCUUGUUGGUGAGGUAAUGGCUCACAAAGGCGACGAAGGGUAGCCGGCCUGAGAGGGUGACCGGCCACACUGGAACUAAGACACGGCCCAAACCCCUACGGGAGGCGGCAGUGGGGAAUAUUGCACAAUGGACGGAGGCCUAAUGCAGCGACGCCGCGUGAGGGAUAACGGCCUUCGGUUUGUAAACCGCUUUCAGUAGGGAAAAAGCGAAAGUGACGGUACCUGGAGAAGAAGCACCGGCUAACUACGUG
rnacentral:rRNA from 1 species